rnacentral:rRNA from 1 species
GACGUAGGGGGCCAGCGUUGCUCGGAAUUACUGGGCGUAAAGGGUCCGUAGGCGGUGUGGCAAGUCGGGAGUGAAAUGCUGGGGCUUAACUUCAGCGCUGCUUCCGAAACUGCCAUGCUCGAGUGUGGGAGAGGCGAGUGGAAUUGCAGGUGUAGCGGUGAAAUGCGUAGAUAUCUGCAGGAACACCAGUGGCGAAAGCGGCUCGCUGGACCACAACUGACGCUGAGGGACGAAAGCUAGGGGAGCAAAC